CUUGGUGAAGUGGAUGAUCCUAUGCUGCCGAGAAAAGCCUCUAGUGAGUGUUGUGGCGGCCCGUACCCUAAACCGACUCAGGUGGUCAGGUAGAGAAUACCAAGGCGAUCGGGUGAACUGUGGUUAAGGAACUCGGCAAAUUGCCCCCGUAACUUCGGGAGAAGGGGGACCUCUGCUGGUGAUGGGCUUUACGUUCUGAGCUGGUGGGGGUCGCAGUGGCCAGGGGGAAGCGACUGUUUACUAAAAACACAGGUCCGUGCGAAGUCGUAAGACGAUGUAUACGGACUGACGCCUGCCCGGUGCCGGAACGUUAAGGGGACCGCUUAGCCAACGCGAGUUGGCGAAGGUGAGAACUUAAGCGCCGGUAAACGGCGGUGGUAACUAUAACCAUCCUAAGGUAGCGAAAUUCCUUGUCGGGUAAGUUCCGACCUGCACGAAUGGCGUAACGACUUCCCCGCUGUCUCAACCACAGACCCGGCGAAAUUGCACUACGAGUAAAGAUGCUCGUUUCGCGCAGCAGGACGGAAAGACCCCGGGACCUUCACUACAGCUUGACAUUGGCGUUUGGAACGUCUUGUGUAGGAUAGGUGGGAGACUGGGAAGCUGUCACGCUAGUGAUGGUGGAGUCAUUGGUGAAAUACCACUCUGGUCGUUUUGAACGUCUAACUCUGGUCCGUGAUCCGGAUCGGGGACAGUGUCUGGUGGGUAGUUUAACUGGGGCGGUUGCCUCCUAAAGAGUAACGGAGGCGCCCAAAGGUUCCCUCAGCCUGGUUGGCAAUCAGGUGUUGAGUGUAAGUGCACAAGGGAGCUUGACUGUGAGACUGACAGGUCGAGCAGGAGCGAAAGCUGGGACUAGUGAUCCGGCAUCGGCGUGUGGAAGCGGUGUCGCUCAACUGCUAAAAGGUACCCCGGGGAUAACAGGCUGAUCUUCCCCAAGAGUCCAUAUCGACGGGAUGGUUUGGCACCUCGAUGUCGGCUCGUCGCAUCCUGGGGCUGGAGUAGGUCCCAAGGGUUGGGCUGUUCGCCCAUUAAAGCGGUACGCGAGCUGGGUUUAGAACGUCGCGAGACAGUUCGGUCCCUAUCCGCUGCGCGCGCAGGAGACUUGAAGGGGGCUGUCCCUAGUACGAGAGGACCGGGACGGACGAACCUCUGGUGUGCCAGUUGUACCGCCAGGUGCACGGCUGGUUGGCUACGUUCGGAAGGGAUAACCGCUGAAAGCAUCUAAGCGGGAAGCUCGCCUUGAGAUGAGGUCUCCCACCCCGUGAGGGGGUAAGGCUCCCGGUAGAUCACCGGGUUGAUAGGCCGGAGGUGGAAGCACGGUAACGUGUGGAGCUGACCGGUACUAAUAGGCCGAGGACUUGACCAC
rnacentral:rRNA from 1 species